AGCGGAUCUUGUCCUUCGGGANNGGUUAGCGGCGGACGGGUGAGUAACACGUAGGCAACCUGCCCUCAAGACUGGGAUAACCUCCGGAAACGGAUGCUAAUACCGGAUAUGCGGUUUCUCCUCCUGGAGAGACCGGGAAAGACGGAGCAAUCUGUCACUUGGGGAUGGGCCUGCGGCGCAUUAGCUAGUUGGUGAGGUAACGGCUCACCAAGGCGACGAUGCGUAGCCGACCUGAGAGGGUGAUCGGCCACACUGGGACUGAGACACGGCCCAGACUCCUACGGGAGGCAGCAGUAGGGAAUCUUCCGCAAUGGACGCAAGUCUGACGGAGCAACGCCGCGUGAGUGAGGAAGGCCUUCGGGUCGUAAAGCUCUGUUGCCAGGGAAGAACGGGUGGAAGAGUAACUGCUUCCGCCAUGACGGUACCUGAGAAGAAAGCCCCGGCUA
rnacentral:rRNA from 2 species